AAAGACAGUAACUGGACAACAAGAAAAUGAUAUUGGCAUUAUUGAACAAGCUCCACAAGAUCAAAAAAAUAAGAUGCCCACAUCAGAAUCAGGACAAAACGAAGAUAUAAAAUCACCUUCUGAUUCUGAGAUUAUCUCUAAGAGUGCUGAUAGAAUUAUAUGUGUUUA